CCUACGGGAGGCAGCAGUGGGGAAUAUUGGACAAUGGGCGAAAGCCUGAUCCAGCAAUGCCGCGUGAGUGAUGAAGGCCUUCGGGUCGUAAAGCUCUUUUACCAGGGAUGAUAAUGACAGUACCUGGAGAAUAAGCUCCGGCUAACUCCGUGCCAGCAGCCGCGGUAAUACGGAGGGAGCUAGCGUUGUUCGGAAUUACUGGGCGUAAAGAGUACGUAGGCGGUUAUUCAAGUCAGAGGUGAAAGCCCGGGGCUCAACCCCGGAACUGCCUUUGAAACUAGAUAACUAGAGUCUUGGAGAGGUUAGUGGAAUUCCGAGUGUAGAGGUGAAAUUCGUAGAUAUUCGGAAGAACACCAGUGGCGAAGGCGACUAACUGGACAAGUACUGACGCUGAGGUACGAAAGCGUGGGGAGCAAACAGGAUUAGAUACCCUGGUAGUCCACGCCGUAAACGAUGAUAACUAGUUGUUCGGUCACUUGGUGACUGAGUGACGCAGCUAACGCAUUAAGUUAUCCGCCUGGGGAGUACGGUCGCAAGAUUAAAACUCAAAGGAAUUGACCGG
rnacentral:rRNA from 1 species